AUACGUAGGUGACAAGCGUUAUCCGGAUUUACUGGGCGUAAAGGGCGUGUAGGCGGUCUUGCAAGUCAGAAGUGAAAUUCCUGAGCUCAACUCGGGCGCUGCUUCUGAAACUGCAGGACUUGAGUGCUGGAGGGGAUAGCGGAAUUCCUAGUGGAGCGGUAAAAUGGGCAGAUAUUAGGAAGAACACCGGUGGCGAAGGCGGUUAUCUGGACAGUAACGGACGCUGAGGCGCGAAAGCGUGGGGAGCAAACAGGAUUAUAUCCCCUGGUAGUCCACGCCGUAAACGAUGAAUACUAGGUGUAGGGGGUAUCGACUCCCUCUGUGCCGCAGUUAACACAAUAAGUAUUCCGCCUGGGGAGUACGGCCGCAAGGUUGAAACUCAAAUGAAUUGACGGGG
rnacentral:rRNA from 1 species